ACGAACAGUCGGAAACGACUGCUAAUACCGCAUAAGCCCACCGAUCCGGCAUCGGAUUGAGGGAAAAGGGAUUUAUUCGCUUCAGGAUGGACUCGCGUCCAAUUAGCUAGUUGGUGAGGUAACGGCCCACCAAGGCGACGAUUGGUAGCCGGACUGAGAGGUUGAACGGCCACAUUGGGACUGAGACACGGCCCAGACUCCUACGGGAGGCAGCAUG
rnacentral:rRNA from 1 species